CAGCAUUUCACCAGCCCAAGUUGUAGGAAAAACUCCAAGUGGCAGGGUUAUACCUGGUUCUCUUCAUCCUGCGUCUUUCCUCCACCAGGUAACCCCAGAUCCCAUGAGGUGGCAGUGUCACCAUUGCCCCAGCCCAGAGUCAUUUCAAGGAGGAGCAGGUCACUUCCUGAUUCCCAAAGCAUCUGCCUGUACCAUUGAAAACUUAUUCCUGCUCAGCCCACACACUGAGGAAAGGCCAUAUGAGCACACAGGAAGAAGACUGCCAUCUGCAAAUCAGGAAGACAAUCAUCAUCAAGAACUUACCAUGCUGGCACCCCGAACUUGGGCUUCCGACAUCCAGAACUGUGGGAAAAUAAAUUUCUGUUGUUUAAGCC
rnacentral:lncRNA from 1 species